ensembl:lncRNA LINC02445 long intergenic non-protein coding RNA 2445
CUACUUGUCAUAAAUUGAUGCUAAUCUUCCCAUAGUACAGAGGAAGACAAGUAAAUUUUAUAUACCCUAUUCUACUGCCUCAGCUCCACUGGAGUCUCACUGAGCCUACUCUGGCUUUGGAGGUGCCAAGUCACCAAGAGAGAUUCUCAGAGGCCCAUUGCAUCUAUUUCUCUCUUGCAUCAACUGGGCAUCAUGCUUAGCUAGGUCUGAGUUCUUAUCUCACAACCAGGAAGACUUAGGUGCACAGACCCUGGAGAGUGAGUGGAGUAAAAAUUAUUCAGCAAGAUGGAAGCUCUCAGCAAAGAGGGAGUGUGGGGUGUGGUUCCCCUACCCAAAGAUUAUCAAGUCUGCCGUGAUGUCUAUCUACAUUUGGGCAAGAAUACAAAUGAAGGUUCACCUGAAAGUUAUGAAGGAGGCUAAGAAAUUGUUACAUAAUACGUAAUAUAAUUUUCUACCAUGUAAAAUAUAACUCUAUAAAAACAGAAUUGAAGCACA